rnacentral:rRNA from 1 species
AAAACAUAGCCCUAAGAAUUUGUUUAGGGUGAGACCUGCCCAAUGAGAAAUUUAAAUGGCCGCGGUACUUUGACCGUGCUAAGGUAGCAUAAUCAGUUGACUUUUAAAUGAAGUCUGGAAUGAAAGGGGGAACGGAAUCUAGCUGUCUAACUUUUUUAAUUUGAAUUUACUAACUAAGUGAAAAGGCUUAGGAAAGAUAAAAGACGAGAAGACCCUAAGAGUUUAAUAUGUUUUUGUUGGGGCGACGAAAGGUCAGAAUAACACCUUAUCUUAAUAAGACGGAAUUUUCAUGAUUAGAUAAACUACCUUAGGGAUAACAGCAUAAUCUUUUUAGGUUUGUGACCUCGAUGUUGGACUAGGAAGCCCUUAGGCUAGCUGCUUAAGAGGGGGAUUCUGUUCGAAUUUUUUACUCCUACGUGAUCU